rnacentral:rRNA from 1 species
CCUUCCCAUAACUCUGGGAUAGCCUUUCGGAAGAAAGAUUAAUACCGGAUGGUACUUUUUCAAGGCAUCUUGAGAAAGUUAAAGAUUUAUUGGUUAUGGAUGGGGAUGCGUUCCAUUAGAUAGUUGGUGAGGUAACGGCUCACCAAGUCUUCGAUGGAUAGGGGUUCUGAGAGGAAGGUCCCCCACAUUGGUACUGAGACACGGACCAAACUCCUACGGGAGGCAGCAGUGAGGAAUAUUGGUCAAUGGGCGAGAGCCUGAACCAGCCAAGUAGCGUGAAGGAUGAAGGUCCUAUGGAUUGUAAACUUCUUUUAUAGUAGAAUAAAGUGACCCACGUGUGGGUUUUUGUAUGUAUACUAUGAAUAAGGAUCGGCUAACUCCGUGCCAGCAGCCGCGGUAAUACGGAGGAUCCGAGCGUUAUCCGGAUUUAUUGGGUUUAAAGGGUGCGUAGGCGGAAUAAUAAGUCAGUUGUGAAAGUUUGCGGCUCAACCGUAAAAUUGCAGUUGAUACUGUUAUUCUUGAGUGUACAUAAGGUAGGCGGAAUUCGUGGUGUAGCGGUGAAAUGCUUAGAUAUCACGAAGAACUCCGAUUG